rnacentral:rRNA from 1 species
UACGUAGGGUGCGAGCGUUGUCCGGAAUUAUUGGGCGUAAAGAGCUCGUAGGCGGUGUGUCGCGUCGGCCGUGAAAACCUGCAGCUUAACUGUGGGCUUGCGGUCGAUACGGGCAUCUCUGGAGUUCGGCAGGGGAGACUGGAAUUCCUGGUGUAGCGGUGAAAUGCGCAGAUAUCAGGAGGAACACCGGUGACGAAGGCGGGUCUCUGGCCCGAUACUGACGCUGAGGCACGAAAGCGUGGGGAGCAAACAGG